AUUGAACGCUGGCGGCAGGCCUAACACAUGCAAGUCGAGCGGAUGAGUGGAGCUUGCUCCAUGAUUCAGCGGCGGACGGGUGAGUAAUGCCUAGGAAUCUGCCUGGUAGUGGGGGACAACGUUUCGAAAGGAACGCUAAUACCGCAUACGUCCUACGGGAGAAAGUGGGGGAUCUUCGGACCCCACGCUAUCAGAUGAGCCUAGGUCGGAUUAGCUAGUUGGUGAGGUAAAGGCUCACCAAGGCGACGAUCCGUAACUGGUCUGAGAGGAUGAUCAGUCACACUGGAACUGAGACACGGUCCAGACUCCUACGGGAGGCAGCAGUGGGGAAUAUUGGACAAUGGGCGAAAGCCUGAUCCAGCCAUGCCGCGUGUGUGAAGAAGGUCUUCGGAUUGUAAAGCACUUUAAGUUGGGAGGAAGGGCAGUAAGUUAAUACCUUGCAGUUUUGACGUUACCAACAGAAUAAGCACCGGCUAACUUCGUGCCAGCCGCCGCAGUAAGAC
rnacentral:rRNA from 1 species